CAGCAGUGGGGAAUAUUGCACAAUGGGCGAAAGCCUGAUGCAGCAACGCCGCGUGCGGGAUGACGGCCUUCGGGUUGUAAACCGCUUUCAGCAGGGGCGAAGCUUUUGUGACGGUACCUGCAGAAGAAGCACCGGCUAACUACGUGCCAGCAGCCGCGGUGAUACGUAGGGUGCGAGCGUUGUCCGGAUUUAUUGGGCGUAAAGAGCUCGUAGGUGGUUGAUUGCGUCGGAAGUGAAAACUUGGGGCUUAACCCUGAGCGUGCUUUCGAUACGGGUUGACUUGAGGAAGGUAGGGGAGAAUGGAAUUCCUGGUGGAGCGGUGGAAUGCGCAGAUAUCAGGAGGAACACCAGUGGCGAAGGCGGUUCUCUGGACCUUUCCUGACGCUGAGGAGCGAAAGCGUGGGGAGCGAACAGGCUUAGAUACCCUGGUAGUCCACGCUGUAAACGGUGGGUACUAGGUGUGGGGUCCAUUCCACGGAUUCCGUGCCGUAGCUAACGCAUUAAGUACCCCGCCUGGGGAGUACGGCCGCAAGGCUAAAACUCAAAGGAAUUGACGGGGCCCCGCACAAGCGGCGGAGCAUGCGGAUUAAUUCGAUGCAACGCGAAGAACCUUACCUGGGUUUGACAUGGACUGGGAGUGCUCAGAGAUGGGUACGCCUCCUUGUGGGGCUGGUUCACAGGUGGUGCAUGGCUGUCGUCAGCUCGUGUCGUGAGAUGUUGGGUUAAGUCCCGCAACGAGCGCAACCC
rnacentral:rRNA from 1 species